GGAUAUUUUUGUAAAAUGUGUCAAAAACAUCUAAAACUUAGAAUUUGAUAUUUAACGGAAAUUAUCUAGCAGGACAGAAAACAAAAUUUGCUUUUUUUAUAAUAUCGAUCAUUACAACUUGGCUUCUCUAGUCAAACAAUCAACCAAAUAUGUAUUAAAAUAGUUUGCUUUUUAUGGAAGAUGACAACCUUAAGGAGAAGUUUGAGGUUUCUCUCUGGGUUAUCGGAAUCCUAGCACAACUAAAAAGGAACAACAAGCAUAGGACUUAAACUCAAAAUGGGAACUUAGCGCAAACCACAUGCCGUGUACGUGUUGUAAAAGAAGCAAACUGAAAGUGAAUCUAGGUCAGAUUGCAAUGACCUGAGCGCCAACGAGCAACCCAUAAUGAGGAGCAUGAAAUGCCCAAGAAAUGAGUCUCUCAAAAGUAACAUGCAAUGGAAACAUUCGGCUAAGGCGUUCCUUCUUGUUUGUGGCUGGCAGCGUGCGAUCGACUCCACCGUGCAAGGUGAACGAAAGGCAAAUGCAGGGGAAAAGCCAAAGAGGCCAGUUAAGAAGUCAACCAACCGGGGGAAAUACGGAGAGGGAGGACGAGAGAGUGACCCGAACCGAAAGGAUUUUCUGGGCGGCAGGACGAAUUUCCAAUUGGAACUGGCU